AGGACGAACGCUGGCGGCGUGCUUAACACAUGCAAGUCGAACGAGGAUAUACCAGAGGAGAGCUUCGGCAGGAAUCGGGUAUAUUCGAGUGGCGGACGGGUGAGUAACGCGUGAGCAACCUGUCCCAGACAGGGGGAUAACACUUGGAAACAGGUGCUAAUACCGCAUAAGACCACGGUAUCACAUGGUAUUGGGGUAAAAAGGAGCAAUCCGGUUUGGGGUGGGCUCGCGUCCGAUUAGAUAGUUGGUGAGGUAACGGCCCACCAAGUCGACGAUCGGUAGCCGACCUGAGAGGGUGAUCGGCCACAUUGGAACUGAGAGACGGUCCAAACUCCUACGGGAGGCAGCAGUGGGGGAUAUUGCACAAUGGGGGAAACCCUGAUGCAGCCGACGCCGCGUGAGUGAUGAAGUAUUUCGGUAUGUAAAGCUCUAUCAGCAGGGAAGAAAAUGACGGUACCUGACUAAGAAGCCCCGGCUAACUACGUGCCAGCAGCGGC
rnacentral:rRNA from 1 species